UACAGAGGGUGCAAGCGUUAAUCGGAAUUACUGGGCGUAAAGCGUGCGUAGACGGUAGCGUAAGUCGGGUGUGAAAGCCCCGGGCCCAACCUGGGAAUGGCAUUCGAGACUGCUCUGCUAGGGUGCGGAAGAGGGGAGCGGAAUUUCCGGUGUAGCGGUGAAAUGCGUAGAUAUCGGAAGGAACACCAGUGGCGAAAGCGGCUCCCUGGUCCAGCACCGACGUUCAGGCACGAAAGCGUGGGGAGCAAACAGG
rnacentral:rRNA from 1 species